rnacentral:rRNA from 1 species
AACGCGAAGAACCUUACCUGGGUUUGACAUCCUCUGACAAACGUAGAGAUACGUCUUCUGUAGCAAUACAGCAGAGAGACAGGUGCUGCAUGGCUGUCGUCAGCUCGUGUGGUGACAUGUUGGGUUAAGUCCCGCAACGAGCGCAACCCUUGUCCUUAGUUGCCAGCAUUCAGUUGGGCUCUCUAAGGAGACUGCCGUGGUUAACACGGAGGAAGGUGGGGAUGACGUCAAGUCCUCAUGGCCUUUAUAUCCAGGGCGACACACGUGAUACAAUGGUCGGUACAGAGGGAAGCGAAACCGCGAGGUGGAGCCAAUCUCAAAAAGCCGAUCUCAGUUCGGAUUGGAGUCUGCAAUUCGACUCCAUGAAGUUGGAAUCGCUAGUAAUCGCGGAUCAGCACGCCGCGGUGAAUACGUUCCCGGGCCUUGUACACACCGCAUAC